rnacentral:rRNA from 1 species
UACGUAGGGUGCGAGCGUUAAUCGGAAUUACUGGGCGUAAAGCGUGCGCAGGCGGUUUUGUAAGCCAGAUGUGAAAUCCCCGGGCUUAACCUGGGAACUGCAUUUGGGACUGCGAGGCUAGAGUACGGCAGAGGGAGGUGGAAUUCCACGUGUAGCAGUGAAAUGCGUAGAUAUGUGGAGGAACACCGAUGGCGAAGGCAGCCUCCUGGGCUAGUACUGACGCUCAUGCACGAAAGCGUGGGGAGCAAACAGG